AUCUGCUUCCAGAACAUGGCUGACUGCUGGUAACCGAGACCGCAGGGAAGUGAAACAGCAGAUAAGGGGGGACGCUGGCCCACGGGAAAUGAAUCCGGGUCUACUGUGCAGUUCAGACCAGGUGUUGGCUCCUGUAUAUAUAGACCUGCUUUGCUUUGAGCCUGUCAAAGCACUGCUUCAUUUACAUUUUGGCCUAAACUCUAUCCUUCCCCCAAAUCCUCUAAUUCUCUCUUUUCCUGUUUGGUCAGAUACCCCUAGUUCCUCCCGUGUGGCCUCCCUCAUUGCAAUGAAUUAGUAAAUCGGAUUUUGUCAAACUACAGAUUUGUUCCUAGGGAUCCUAGGCUGAUUGGGCCAGGGUGUGGGUAAUGGGGAUACACAGGUUUUUUGCACUAUUCCCUCUGCUAUUACAAAUGACUCACAUUUUCCACGUUUGCAAGCUCUUCAGAGGUCCUCACCCCGUCAUGAUAGUAGGAGCCAUGGCGUUGAGAUCUCUGCAAGGGUGAAUAACAGCCCUCCAAAGACAUCCAGGUCCUGAUCCUCGACACUUGUAUGUUAUCUUAAUAACAAAAGGGACUUCACAGAUUUAAUUAAGGCUAAAGAUCUUGAGAUGGGGAGAGUAUUCGGCCCCAGUAUAAUCACGCGGGUCCUUAAAAGCAGAGAAGCUUCCCUGGCUGCAGUCAGAAAGAAAUGUGACCACGGAAGGAGGGUCAGAGACUUUGCUGGUCUUGAAGGCAGGAGAAGGGGCCACAAGUCAGGGAAUGUGGGCAGCCUCGAGAAGACAGAAAAGGCAAGGAAACAGAUUCUCCUCCAGAACCUCCAGAAAGGAAUGCAGGCCUGCUGAUCAUCUGAUUCGAGCUCAGUGGGACUCAUGUCAGAGUUCUGACUGUAGAACUAGAAGUUAAAUGUGCUACUUUAAGCCACAUUGUGGCAACUUGAUAUGGCAGCACAAAAAAA